CUCUUAAACACUUGGACCUGAGUUACAAUCACCCUGGAGACAAUGGGACGAGGGCUCUCAAUGCAAUAGUUGAGGAUCCAAACAAGAAACUUGAGACAGUGAACUUUGACUAUGAAGGAAAACAUCGACUAAAACCUGGUUGGAGUAAAUAUGGUGCAGAUCUUAUGUUUGAUAAGAACUACAGCAAGCAGACGACUUGUUCUGUCUGAAAACAACAAAAAAGCGAAAACUGAUAAUGAUGUCAAGAAGCUGGAAAAGCGAAAUACAAGUGAUGAAACGGUUCAAGAGGACCCAGGUAGUAUGUGAUGAAGGCCUG